GCGUCUUUAGCUCAGACGGUAGAGCAGCAGACCUUUAAUCUGCGGGUCGUGGGUUCGAUUCCUGCAAGACGCACCA
rnacentral:tRNA from 1 species